GCCUCGGUGGUGUAGUGCUAGAACACGCGUCUCUAGAUAGGAUGAAACGCUGGUUUGAUUCCCGCCUGAGGCU